UCUGCAGAGAUGCGGAAGUGCCUUCGGGAACUGUGAGACAGGUGCUGCAUGGCUGUCGUCAGCUCGUGUUGUGAAAUGUUGGGUUAAGUCCCGCAACGAGCGCAACCCUUAUCCUUUGUUGCCAGCGAUUAGGUCGGGAACUCAAAGGAGACUGCCAGUGAUAAACUGGAGGAAGGUGGGGAUGACGUCAAGUCAUCAUGGCCCUUACGACCAGGGCUACACACGUGCUACAAUGGCGCAUACAAAGAGAAGCGACCUCGCGAGAGCAAGCGGACCUCAUAAAGUGCGUCGUAGUCCGGAUUGGAGUCUGCAACUCGACUCCAUGAAGUCGGAAUCGCUAGUAAUCGUGGAUCAGAAUGCCACGGUGAAUACGUUCCCGGGCCUUGUACACACCGCCCGUCACACCAUGGGAGUGGGUUGCAAAAGAAGUAGGUAGCUUAACCUUCGGGAGGGCGCUUACCACUUUGUGAUUCAUGACUGGGGUGAAGUCGUAACAAGGUAACCGUAGGGGAACCUGC
rnacentral:rRNA from 1 species